UACGUAGGGUGCGAGCGUUUAAUCGGAAUUACUGGGCGUAAAGCGUGCGCAGGCGGUUUGUAAGCCAGAUGUGAAAUCCCCGGGCUCAACCUGGGAAUGGCAUUGGGACUGCAAGGCUGGAGUGACGGGCAGGAGGAGACGUGGAAUUCCUGGUGAGCAGUGAAAUGCGCGAUAUCAGGAAGAACACCCGUGGCUAAGGCGGCUCUCUAGUACGGUACUGACGCUGAGACGGCGAAAGCGU
rnacentral:rRNA from 1 species